AACUUAAGACUGUUUUUAGAAUUUUCAGACUAAAAGAAAACACGGAGAACACUUUGGCCACUUAAAAAAUGACGCUAACCCUCGUAUCGUUUAUAACACAAGCGGCGCAGCAUCCAUCUUCUCCCUUUUCAACCUCUCUGCAAUGCAUCUUCUCUCUUUUUAAUCUCUUUGUCUGAUCUCUUUUAUAAUGUUAAAUUAGCUGUACAAGGGUUUUGACCUUUAAUCUCCAAAUUCUCCUCCUCUCCGAAGAGCCCUCUCUCUGAUCUCUGCUCAGGUUCUUGGAAAAUCAAGAUGGACACAGAUUGGAGUGGCACGUCGUCUUCACCAUCUAGUGAUUCAGAUGAAGAUUUUGAUGACCUUGUAGAUUGUAUGUAUUUGAAUUUGACGCAAGAGUAUGAAGAUUCCUUUAAAUCCAAGGGAACUUCAGGGUUUACAGGUCAUGAGUAUGUUCAGGAAUUGUUGAAUGACCAUGCCGAUGGAUGUUUUGAUUUGCUACGAAUGGAUAGAGAAGUCUUUCUGAAAUUAUGUCGAAUAUUGAGAGAACGAAAAUUAUUGGAAGACACACAUACAAUUUCAAUCGAAGAGUCAGUGGCAAUGUUUUUGUCCAUUAUAAGACAUAAUAUUCGUCAUGCAGUGGUAGCUGAACGAUUUCAACAUUCUGGCGGAACAGUUUCUAAACAUUUUAAGCUCGUAUUGAUCAGAGCAAUACGUCGCAUUGGGAAAUUCUUCAUACCCACCACAAAGCAAUGAUGUGCCUUCUCAUACAUUUCAUAAUCCCAAAUAUUAUUCUUGGAAUAAGAAUUGCAUUAGAGCAAUUGAUGGAACACAUAUAAGUGUUUUUGCACCUGCCAGCAAAUAAACUCUUAUAGAGGAAGAAAGUCUAUAGUGACACGAAAUGUUGUGUGCUUGCUCAUUUGAUAUGCUAUUUACUAUCGUUUACGCGAGUUGGGAGGGUAAAGCAAAUGACUCGAGAGUUUUUAUUGAUGCAAUUACUAGAGCUGUUGUAUGAUUCCCGAUACCAGCUGAUGGAAAAUACUAUGUAAUUGAUUCUAGUUACCCAUGCACAAAAGGAUUUCUACCUCCAUAUCGUGGUCAAAGAUAUCAUCUACAAGAUUAUAAGGGUAACAAUCAAAAACCGCGUGGUGCAAAGGAAUUAUUUAAUUAUCGGUAUUCAUCACUUCGCAAUGUCAUUGAAUGUUGUUUUGGAGUAAUAAAGGCUCGUUUUCCCAUUUUAAAGCUUAUGCCUUGUUAUAAGUUAGUUAGACAACGACUCAUAAUAACUACUUGUUGCACGAUUCACAAUUUCAUUCGUCAAAAUAUAUUAGAUGAUCGUUUUUUUAUGGAGUAUGGGGAAGAAGAUGUUAAUGUCAUUGAUGGGGGGAAUGGUACUAGUAGUAAUGUUGGUGUACUGAAUGCACUUAAUUUAUUUGAUAAUAGUACAGCACAAAUGGGAGCCUUUAUAACUCAUCUGAGGAAUUAGAUGUGAGCAUCAUUAAGAGGGAAUGCUAGAUGAAGUUACUUUUAUAAUUCUCUAAUGUUUUGCUUUGAUUAGCUAUUUGUGUAAUUCUCUAAUAUUUUGUUUUGGUUAUGUAUGACUAAAAUUAAUGUUUAUACAACUAAAAGUGCAUAUGACACUUGAAG